GACGAACGCUGGCGGCGUGCUUAACACAUGCAAGUCGAACGGGCCCGCUCUCUUUUUUUGUGUGGGGUUGAGUGGCGAACGGGUUAGUAGCACGUGAGUAACCUACCCCCUGCUCCUGGAUAACUGCUUGAAAGGGCGGCUACUACGGGGUGUGCCGGCUGAUCCGCAUGGGCCUGGUCGGGAUAGUUUCAUCUUCGGGUGUUUCUGUGGGGGAUGGGCUCCCGGCCUAUCCGCUUGUUGGUGGGGUGAUGGCCCACCAGGGCGGUGACGGGUAGCCGGCCUGAGAGGGUGGGCGGGCAGACUGGGACUGAGACCCGGCCGAGACUGAUGCGGGAGGCAGCAGUGGGGGGUAUUGCACAAUGGGCGGAAGCCUGAUGCAGCGCCGUCGCGUGAGGGAUGGAGGCAUGCGGGUUGUGAACCUCUUUGUCAGGUGGUGAAGGCCCUGUCCGGUGCGGCGGGGUUGACGGUAGCCGGGUAGGAAGCUCCGGCUAACUACGUG
rnacentral:rRNA from 1 species